rnacentral:rRNA from 1 species
CCUACGGGUGGCAGCAGUAGGGAAUAUUGCACAAUGGGGGAAACCCUGAAGCAGCAACGCCGCGUGGAGGAUGAAGGUUUUCGGAUUGUAAACUUCUAUCGUCAGAGAAGAUAAUGACGGUAUCUAACCAAUAAGCACCGGCUAACUCCGUGCCAGCAGCCGCGGUAAUACGGAGGGUGCAAGCGUUACUCGGAAUGACUGGGCGUAAAGAGCGCGUAGGCGGGAUAGCAAGUCAGAUGUGAAAUCCUAUGGCUUAACCAUGGAACUGCAUUUGAAACUGUUAAUCUGGAGUAUGGGAGAGGUAGGUGGAAUUCUUGGUGUAGGGGUGAAAUCCGUAGAGAUCAGGAGGAAUACU